UGCUGGUUUUAAAUAUGUUUUAGAAUGAAAGUAGGAGCUCAGUCUUGGGGGUCUUCCUGAUGCUCUAAUGGCCUUUCCUCUCACGUAGAGAGGAUUGGACCAUGUGGUGAGGAGUAGCAGGAGAUCUUAGUCUUGGAGGCCUCCAGUAUGCUCUAAGGCGCGGAACAAGCUAACCUCGUGAGUGUGGCAGGGUGGGGAACCCAAGUAUCAUAAGCCACCAUAGGUGCAUGACCCACCAUAGCUCGACUAUCAUUGUAAAGUCCGGAUGAGUCAAGUCUAGUAUGAACAUGCUAGGAUGUAUGAUUUAUCUUUCUUUGCCUGAAGUGAACUCUUGUAUGUCUUAUGUUGUUGAUUGUACGUUUUUAUAUAAUUAGCUCACCC
rnacentral:lncRNA from 1 species